rnacentral:rRNA from 1 species
UACGUAGGGGGCUAGCGUUGUCCGGAAUCAUUGGGCGUAAAGCGUGUGUAGGCGGAUCGUUAAGUGCCUUGUGAAAUCCCAUGGCUUAACCAUGGAACUGCUUGGCAUACUGGCGAUCUUGAGCCACUUAGGGGCAACCGGAACAAAUGGUGGAGCGGUGAAAUGCGUAGAUAUCAUUUGGAACGCCAAUGGUGAAAACAGGUUGCUGGGACGGUACUGACGCUGAGACGCGAAAGCGUGGGGAGCAAACAGG